CUGGGUCUUACUUGAUGGCUAGUGCUUAUUACCAAAAAAUCUGUUGGGUGACAGGUGUUUGUAAGAUGGCAAUAAAUUUUUUACAUAGGGUGCCCAAUCUUAAGUUAGUGAGGCCCAAUCUGCUCUAUUAUAUCCUUCCUGCAGGUUUUAUGGUAGAUUACAUUGGGGUUUUUGUGAUGAGGGUAGGGAAUGGUGUUUCAAUUAUGGUCAGACACGAUAUAUUAUCAUAAAUUAUCCUAUUG
rnacentral:lncRNA from 1 species